UAGUGAAUCUUCGGCAAUGGGGGGAACCCUGACCGAGCAACGCCGCGUGAGUGAAGAAGGUUUUCGGAUCGUAAAGCUCUGUUGUUAAGGAAGAACGAGUGUGAGAAUGGAAAGUUCAUGCUGUGACGGUACUUAACCAGAAAGGGACGGCUAACUACGUGCCAGCAGCCGCGGUAAUACGCAGGUCCCGAGCGUUGUCCGGAUUUAUUGGGCGUAAAGCGAGCGCAGGCGGUUAGAAAAGUCUGAAGUGAAAGGCAGUGGCUCAACCAUUGUAGGCUUUGGAAACUGUUUAACUUGAGUGCAGAAGGGGAGAGUGGAAUUCCAUGUGUAGCGGUGAAAUGCGUAGAUAUAUAGAGGAACACCGGUGGCGAAAGCGGCUCACUAGUCUGUAACUGACGCUGAGGCUCGAAAGCGUGGGGAGCGAACAGG
rnacentral:rRNA from 1 species